rnacentral:sRNA from 1 species
AAAAGAUCACAAUGCAACUCCUCAGCUUUCAUUUGUUUCUUCAUAUAUAUCUAUUUACGACAAUGUGCCUACUUUUAGUUACAGCAAGACUUGCCUGCGGCUCUGACGGGUAUUGUGUGAAUAAGGAUGGGUUUUGUAAAUAUGUAAAGGUUCCGUCAGCCGACUGCAGAGGCUCGACCUCAACUAUCUGUUGCCAACGAAGACCUGUUGGUUAAGUGUGCCGCAUUAAAUAUGUAACCAUAUUUAAAAUCCAAAAUUGUGUUAAGCCUAAAGCAUACUAGCAAUAAUUGAAUAUACUAUUAUGAAUAUUAUUGGUUAAGCUAUAUUAUAUCUGAUGCUUAUGAAUUCGCAUAGUUAAAAGCAAAUAUGCAAUAUUUUUGGAUGAGGUUCCAAAUAGUACAAUUGAAAUCAGUGGCAAAUGAUUUAAAUUUACGUUACGAUGCUGUACGUGGCGAAUGUAAUUAAGAUAAGAGUUUUAAAAACCCGAGUGACCUCUCGGGAGUGGUUCUUCCUUGGGGUCAACCUGAAAGUACCUUCAUCUAUCCAUUACAUGAGAAACCUCUCGAACACAAAAAAUUCUUGAAAGCCAUCAAGCCAAGCCGUGACAGACGAAAAACAAGUGAUCAGCAUAACGGCGACCCACGACGAGGCAGCCAAGUGUAAGGGCGAGAUGCAGAGACCGAGUGCCAGACAAUGCACCAUCAGACACGCAACCCCGAGCUCAGCUCAGUUUGGGGCAGCUCAUUACCUAGCCGCUUCAGUUGUGCCCAGCCCCAAAUGUUGCAGCAGCAGGCACUUCAGUGUAAAUCAUUACAAUAAUUCAAAUAAAGCGCCGCCAGGACGCGAUGAAGGACGAAGAUAGCAAGUGGCAGGGUGAGCAAAGUAAACGGUGAAAGUUUGCACAGCCAGACACGGUAUAAAAUGGGAUAGUAGGGAUAGAGUCAGGCAAGGAACAGACAGCAGACAGCAGACAGCUGGAACGGCGCCCACUUGAGACUGGGAGAAGAAACGAGCGCCAAAAGCAUUUAAGUAGAAAAUGUUGCAAGAAAAAGAAACAGCGAAAAGGACAUGCCAUGAUUUAGGGCUGCUUAAACGUUUAUGCAGUUUGCCAUUUAAUGUGUUGCACUAACAGCAAAACUCUUGCACGCUCUUAAAAG